ACUCUUGGGCUUGUUUUGCCAUCUGUGGAAUGAAAAUAACGUUUGUCCUGUCCUUGAGGAGUUGUGAGCUUGAAAAGAAAGGAUCUGAAGGGAGCCGAGCUCCUUCUGCAGAAGGGCGCUGAGAAGGGAGCUGGAAGGAAAAGAAGGAAACAUUCCUUCCUCAACUGGAGGAAGACACGCGGCCACACACAGAACCAGCGGCCCCAGGACCGUCACCCUGCGUGCCCGGGCCUGUCCCUCCUGACCCCAGGAUUAUAGUGGCGAGGCAGGGUGUUAGCCAAGCGGAUUGAGCCAGGACACAACACCGCGGAGCCCUGCAGGCGAGAUCAUCUGGCAGCCAGCAUGGUGGAUCACGCCUGUAAUCCCAGCACUUGGGGAGGCCGAGGUGGGCAGAUCACUCGAGGUCAGGAGUUCAAGACUAGCCUGGCCAAUAUGAUGAAACCCCGUCUCUACUAAAAGUACAAAAAUUAGCCGGGCAUGGUGGCACAUGCCUGUAAUCCCAGCUACUCAGGAGGCUGAGGCAGGAGAAUUGCUUGAUCCUGGGAGGCGGAGGUUGCAGUGAGCCAAGAUUGCAUCAUUGCACUCCAGCCUGGGUGACAAGAGUAAAACUCUGUCUCAAUAAAUAAAUAAAUACAUAGGCUAUUCUA
rnacentral:lncRNA from 1 species